rnacentral:tRNA from 1 species
GCCGAGAUCGCAUAGCCAGGUAUUGCGCAAGAUUGGAAAUCUUGUCCCAUCGGGAUCGUGGGUUCAAAUCCCACUCUCGGCG